UAAAUUUCUUUGAAAAUGGACAAUAUAAGGUGUUAUACUUAAAUGGGUCUUGUCAAGAUGGUUUGUUAGCAUCCCCCUUGGUACAGAGAAAGUGAUGAAGAAACUGCUCAAUAUUUGGAAUGUGCCUGCAAGGCCCAAAAGAGAAGGAAAGUUUUUAAAGCACUGUUUAUACUUAACCCGACUUGGACAGCUUGAACUCUCCACUUCCUUCAGUGUAUCUGACAGCUUUCUUAACAAAUUCAUUCUACUUAGGCUCAUAAACUGGUUCAACUCUGCAUGUGUUCCAUUAGUGAUAUUGCACAACACUUUUUCAAGCUUUAGAAGGGCUGGGAUUGCAGAGAUUGGAUGUCCUGUGAUAUCACAACAGAGGAUUUGCAAUGUCAGGCUUUUGGAAACUAAAUUAUGCGAUCAUUCAAGUUGCCUCAAGGUUUUAUUCUUUGCCAGAAGUUGUAGGGCAUGGGUAAAUGGAAUUAGUCAGCAGAUUACAGAUCUAUUGCUGAUUUAGCCCCCCAGAAAAAAAAAAAAUACAGCGUGAAGAUGAAGUAUAUUGUUUAAUUACAGCAACAUCGAAUUGCUUCAGUUAAUCACUGACUGAAUAUACCCUAAGGCUUUUAAAUCAGAGGUAUACAGUAAUUUUCAAUAACCCCACCAUGGAAAGAGCUUCCAAAUCUCCAUGACUUAAGACCACACAGCCUGGCUAUAACAGAUUUGAAUCACCUGCAAAUUGUGUUUACCCUCAUGCAGCUGCUUAUUUGGAGUCCAAGUGCAUCUCACCAAUAUUUAGCCAUUAGGUCAUGAAGGCAACAGUUCUUCAAUGCACGUAUUGAGACCAAGCCUCUUUAGCAUAUUGACUUGAUGAAUGGGAAGCCCUAGCCAGUCUUCCCAACACCACCCAGGGUCAGCAUGGUGGGACAGAGACAUUCCACACAGGGCACGUAUCCUCUCUACUCUAAGCAGCAGCGUAAGCAUACCAGCAUUUGUUUGAGAAUUUAUUUCCAAAUUAACUCACAUAACUUGAAUACUAACUUUCCAAUUGCUUGGAAGCUUCCAAAAAAAGCCCUCACUUAGAUGCUAUUUUUCCUUAAUGUUUUAAUUGUGAGUUUUAGCAAGGAGAGAUUAAGGUAUCACCUCUGGUAUUUAUUACCAUUUAUGGUGACUUUGAGGAGAGACCUGUCUUUUGGACAGAAAACAGAAUGAAAGAAUGCUUUAUCAUGACAUUUUUCCUACCCUAUCUCUUUUUCUAAAAUUCCAUUUGACCAUUUGCUAUUACAGUCUGAAUAUGCUCAUUGUUGAUUAAAAUAAUUAAUAUUUGACAUGAACAUUUGAUGAUAAUCCCUUUAAGCACCUCAAAAGAGGGGAAUGCAGAAUUGCAACAGUCUGCUCUUAAUGACUGUAUUCCUGUUUAGUGUUUGCAUUUUGGUAUUUCAGAAGGAGAGCACUGGAGAAUGAGGUUAUGGAACACCCAGCCUAAAGACUGAACUUCUUGCUGGGGUUGCUUUAGGGCAUUUUGAAAAAUAAUACAGUGCCUUACUGUGCCAGGGGGUUUCCUGGUCCUGACCACUGAGAACUGCUGAUAUCACUGUGUUACUGGAAUAGGAAUUGUGGCAAAAGGCAUUGAGGAACCUCUCUGGUGCCAGUGCCUGUUCUGCAACAGUGCUGGAUUUGGAUUUUUCUUGCUUCAUGUCCCAUAUCCACCUGACCUCCACUUCCCUUUCUUUAGGGCCCCAACAAGGCAAAUUGCCCCAUCUUUUCACUGAAUUGUAUUUUUAACUUCACAGGAAAUCUUUGGUUUUCAUUCUGGAUGUGUCAAAUAAUUUCUAUCUUCUUCUUUCCUUCCUUUCCUUGCAUUUUUAUUCGGGGUAGAGGAGUCUUGCAUCUCUGGGAUCUCCAAUAUUGGAAGGACCCUGACAUGUUGGAUUGGGUCCAGAGAAAAGCCACUAAUUUGAUUAGAGGGAUGGAGCAGCUCUCCUAUGAGGAAAGGCUGAGAGAACUGGGUUUGUUCAGCCUGGAAAAGAGAAAUCUUUGGGAUGAGUUAAUUGUGGCCUUCCAGUACCUGAAUGAAGCCUAAAAGAAAGAUGGACAAGGGCUCUUUACAAGGGUAUGUAGUGACAGGACAAAAGGGAAUGGUUUCAGACUGAAAGAGAAGGUUUAGAUCAGAUAUUAGGGGGAAAAAAAAAUUCUAUGAGGGUGGUGAACUACUGAAACAGAUUGUCCAGAGAAUUUGUGAAUAUGGAACCCUGGAAGCGCCUAAGGGUGGGUUUGAUGGAUCUCUGAGAAACGUGGUCUAGUGAACUUGGUGACCUUUCCUGUCCCUUCCAACCCACGCCCCUCUGCGAUCCUAUCAUCCAUCCUAUGGUAUCUGGAAUAAAUAACACUAUCACAAGAAUGCUUGCGGCCGG
ensembl:lncRNA